AUAAAUCCCUGGCUAGGGCGAUACCGUGAUCAAAAAGACGGUUCACGCAGGGCGAGGAUCAGCCAUUGCACUCCGGCUGUACUGACCCCUGAGAUUUUCCCAAAUGUGGAAUUCUCGAUUGCAUAAUUUCUGGUAAUGGGGGACUCCGUUCGCACUCUCACCUG
rfam:Salmo salar isolate Sally breed double haploid chromosome ssa25, whole genome shotgun sequence.